AUGUAAAAGGUUUUAUUAAAGCAAUCACAACAUGAAGCUAUUACUCUUUGUUUCCGCAUUAAUUGCAGCUCUGUGCAGCUCAUUUGUGACUGCUGAUUGCUUAACGGACCCCGUGACAAUGCUGUGCAUUUUGGACCCAAAUCAUGGCAAAUAACUUUGUAUAUCACCUGGCUCAAUAAAGCACAAAAGUAGAACACGAUGUGGGCUUCUGUAUCCUAAGUAAUUCAACAGUCUCCCCAGACUGAGUUACGUGUGGCAAAUCGCAUUAAACAUUCCACGCCCACCGCCUCCACACUACCAGACAUCUUUUUUGUUAAGGUCUUAUACCCUGUCGUUGGGUAUUUCGAAACUGCGAUUAACUAUGUAACGCUUAUUGAAAGAUAUAUUCUUCUGAAUUCUGAAUUGCCCUAUGUUACAGUUUUAAUAUCUUUUAAACAUCAUUAAAUCAUUUUUUGUAAUGGGUAUUUUCAGUGUCGUGGCAUAAAUAUGUAGCAGUUGUUUGU
rnacentral:lncRNA from 1 species